AUUACUUUGAAUCUAAAUGGGACUAAAUGCUCCCAUCAAAAGAAAUAGGAUGCCUGAAUGGAUAAAAAAACCAAGACCCAUCUAUUUGCUGUCUACAAGAGACUCAUUUUAGACC